UCCGGCUUAUCACCGGCAGUCCCUCUAGAGUGCCCAACUCAAUGCUGGCAACUAGGGACAAGGGUUGCGCUCGUUGCGGGACUUAACCCAACAUCUCACGACACGAGCUGACGACAGCCAUGCAGCACCUGUAUCCCGGUUCCCGAGGGCACCAAUCCAUCUCUGGAAAGUUCCGAGUAUGUCAAGGGCAGGUAAGGUUCUUCGCGUUGCAUCGAAUUAAACCACAUGCUCCACCGCUUGUGCGGGUCCCCGUCAAUUCCUUUGAGUUUUAACCUUGCGGCCGUACUCCCCAGGCGGAGAGCUUACUGCGUUAACUGCGACACCGAACGGCAAGCCGCCCAACGGCUAGCUCUCAUAGUUUACGGCGUGGACUAC
rnacentral:misc_RNA from 1 species